CUUGCCAGGGAACUACGAGCCCCAGCUUAAAACCCAAAGGACUUGGCGGUGCUUUAGACCCCCCUAGAGGAGCCUGUUCUAGAACCGAUACCCCCCGUUAAACCUCACCCUCUCUUGUCUUUCCCGCCUAUAUACCGCCGUCGUCAGCUUACCCUAUGAAGGGUGCACAGUAAGCAGAAUUGGUAGAACCCAAAACGCCAGGUCGAGGUGUAGCGUACGAGAGGGGAAGAAAUGGGCUACAUUCACUGAACCAGUGAACAACGGACGAUGCCUUGAAAUAAACAUCCAAAGGAGGAUUUAGCAGUAAGAGGAAAAACAGAGUGUCCCUCUGAAACUGGCCCUGAAGCGCGCACACACCGCCCGUCACUCUCCCCAAAGACAACAUAAAUAUAUAUAAGAAAAAAUCAAAACAAAGGGGAGGCAAGUCGUAACAUGGUAAGUGUACCGGAAGGUGCACUUGGAAAAAU
rnacentral:rRNA from 1 species